rnacentral:rRNA from 1 species
UACGAAGGGGGCUAGCGUUGUUCGGAAUUACUGGGCGUAAAGGGCGCGUAGGCGGCGUGUCAAGUCAGGCGUGAAAGCCCCGGGCUCAACCUGGGAACCGCGCUUGAGACUGGCAUGCUCGAGUUCGGGAGAGGAUGGUGGAAUUCCCAGUGUAGAGGUGAAAUUCGUAGAUAUUGGGAAGAACACCGAUGGCGAAGGCAGCCAUCUGGACCGACACUGACGCUGAGGCGCGAAAGCGUGGGGGAGCAAACAGG